rnacentral:rRNA from 1 species
CGCAGCCGCGGUAAUACGGAGGAUCCAAGCGUUAUCCGGAUUUAUUGGGUUUAAAGGGUCCGCAGGCGGGAUUCUAAGUCAGUGGUGAAAGCCUACAGCUUAACUGUAGAACUGCCAUUGAAACUGGAAUUCUUGAGUGUGGUUGAAGUAGACGGAAUAUGUCAUGUAGCGGUGAAAUGCAUAGAUAUGACAUAGAACACCAAUUGCGUAGGCAGUUUACUAAACCAUUACUGACGCUCAUGGACGAAAGUGUGGGGAGCGAACAGGAUUAGAUACCCUGGUAGUCCACACCGUAAACUAUGAUCACUAGAUGUUGGCGAUAUACAGUCAGUGUCUUAGAGAAAUCGUUAAGUGAUCCACCUGGGGAGUACGUUCGCAAGAAUGAAACUCAAAGGAAUUGACGGGGGCCCGCACAAGCGGUGGAGCAUGUGGUUUAAUUCGAUGAUACGCGAGGAACCUUACCAAGGCUUAAAUGUAAAACGACCGGUUGAGAAAUCAAUCUUUUUUCGAACGAUUUACAAGGUGCUGCAUGGUUGUCGUCAGCUCGUGCCGUGAGGUGUCGGGUUAAGUCCCAUAACGAGCGCAACCCCUAUUUUUAGUUACCAGCGAGUAAUGUCGGGAACUCUAGAAAGACUGCCUGUGUAAACAGAGAGGAAGGUGGGGAUGACGUCAAAUCAUCACGGCCCUUAUGUCUUGGGCUACACACGUGCUACAAUGGUUACUACAAUGGGCUGCCAUCUGGUGACAGAGAGCAAAUCCAUAAAGGUAAUCCCAGUUCGGAUCGGAGUCUGCAACUCGACUCUGUGAAGUUGGAAUCGCUAGUAAUCGUAUAUCAGCAAUGAUACGGUGAAUACGUUCCCGGGCCUUGUACACACCGCCCGUCAAGCCAUGGAAGUUUGUGGUGCCUGAAGUCAGUAACUGAAAGGAGCUGCCUAGGGUAAAACAGAUAACUAGGGCUAAGUCGUAACAAGGUAGCCGUACCGGAAGGUGUGGCUG